UCUUAUCAAGAGAAGCCGAGGGAAAAGGCCCGACGACGCUUCAGCAACCUCUACACUAGUAGAAAGGUGCUAACUCCUACAAGUUUUGUACUUGGAAGAUAAGA
rnacentral:ncRNA from 1 species